rnacentral:misc_RNA from 1 species
GUUAUCAACAGAUUUAUCUUUAACAGUUUUAUAACUAUUAUAUAAACAUCGAUAAUCAUAGUGCCUUGCCUUUGGAGGAUGUUUAAGUGAAGUUCGACUGGCAUUUUUAUCUAAAUCAUACGGAUUUUACGAGUGUUUUAUUACCAGUAGUCUGUUAGUCAUCGUAGUGGUUCGUCAAAUAAUGCUGCCGGAAGAUUUCGCUGACCGGGUAGCUGGACUAUGCCUGGAGAAAUUCGACCAGCUGCCUUGCAAAGGCAAACCAAUGUCCGGUAAACAGUGGACGCUGUUGUCUGGCGUUGUACAGGUAACAGAUGACUCGAGUCCGCCGAAAGUUGUUUCACUGGCCACAGGCACCAAGUGCAUCGGCGCCGGUAAACUCUGUGGUAAAGGCACCGUGGUCAACGAUAGUCACGCCGAGGUUUUGGCGCGCAGAGCUCUGUUGCGGUAUUUCAUCCAGGAAAUCGAAUCUGCUCGCAAAGGCCGUCCAUCAAUAUUCGUGUGUGGAGCAGCGCUUGCAGACGACGAUUGUGGCCCAGAAAACAAUUUGGUUCGUUCUAGUCCUAUGACGUUGCGAUCAGGUGUGACUUUCCACUUUUUCUCCAGUCACACGCCAUGCGGCGACGCAUCAAUAUUUCCAAAAGACGGAGGAAAACGGUUGGCCGUGGACGGUGACGGCACAGGGCCGGAAGCAAAAAAACGCAAAAUCAUUGAUAAUGACGACGAUGAUAACGACAUACACAGGACCGGAGCUAAAUGUCUGAGCGUAGAGACAAGGCAGGACCCUCGACUUCCAGGUGCUGCGUAUCACACGGUCGGAGCGGUUCGAACCAAGCCGGGCCGAGGAGACCGAACGCUGUCUGUCUCGUGUAGUGACAAAUUGCUUAGGUGGUACUCAUCAGGUAUACAGGGAGCUUUGUUGUCACUGUUCGUCGAACCAGUGUAUUUGUCGUCGCUUACUAUUGGCGGUGGCUGUCCAUACUCUGAAUCGGCCUUACGCCGAGCCGUCAUCGAACGGGCGAACUACUCUGAUGACGAAGACCCUCGAUCGCUGUCAAUCUUACCGCUACGACUGGCGCGUUCUGCUUUGGAGUUCGAAUACGCCAAACACCGAAUGCCCAUUGACUGUAAGCCAUGUCCGUCUAGUGUGAUAUGGUGGGAAGAUAAUUUUGGUGGUGGUGUUGUAGGAGGCAUGAGCGUGUCAAAUGGUCAUCACGAAGUAUUAGUGAACGGCCGCAAACAGGGCGCGACGAAAAAGGCAGUGGACGGAAAGGCUACCGGUUCUUCAGCGUUAUGCAAAAAGUCGUUGCUCGACGCGUGCCGACAUUUGUUGGCCGAAGAUGGAGAUAUCACAGGUCAAGACAUCACUUACGCACAAGUCAAAUUGCGAGCCACGUUGUAUCGACACCGAUGGGCGGCUGUCAGGCACCGACUGGGAUUUUGGACGGUGAAACCAGAAGCUUUAUCGGACUUUACGUGACACAUGAUAACUAAUAAUUCCUAAAAAUUAGUACAAGAUAAUGGAUACUUCGUUGUUUGCCAUAAAUACCUACAAUAGAAUACAACUAUACAAUAUGCAGUCAAUAUUUUCGAAAAAAUGUAUUGUAUAGUAUAAUGUGGGCUACACCUACACCUAUAUAAAAAAUAAUAUACAUUUUUCACCUAAAAUAAUAUUUAUUUGCCAAUUUCGAAAAAGAAAUUCUCUCAUCAUUAUUAAUCGUGUAGCCAUCGGUUCAAAUGAAAGGAUGCAGAUUUAAUUUAGGUCAAAGUUAUGGAGGAAAAUUCAAACAGUUGGUUUGAGUCAAGAAUAUAAAAAUAAGGCCUAGAGAAAAUACGAGUGAUAACGGUGACCAUUUUGGUUGGGGAUUAAUAGCAUUAAAAUCAACGACCUCACCUGUAGCCGGGAGACGAACGUGGGCGAGAGAUAGUGCAC